GAUGAACGCUGGCGGCGUGCUUAACACAUGCAAGUCGAACGAAGCACUUUAACCUGAUUCUUCGGAUGAAGGUUUUUGUGACUGAGUGGCGGACGGGUGAGUAACGCGUGGGUAACCUGCCUCAUACAGGGGGAUAACAGUUAGAAAUGACUGCUAAUACCGCAUAAGACCACAGAGCCGCAUGGCUCGGUGGGAAAAACUCCGGUGGUAUGAGAUGGACCCGCGUCUGAUUAGGUAGUUGGUGGGGUAACGGCCUACCAAGCAAACGAUCAGUAGCCGACCUGAGAGGGUGACCGGCCACAUUGGGACUGAGACACGGCCCAAAAUCCUACGGGAGGCAGCAGUGGGGAAUAUUGCACAAUGGGGGAAACCCUGAUGCAGCGACGCCGCGUGAGCGAAGAAGUAUUUCGGUAUGUAAAGCUCUAUCAGCAGGGAAGAAAAUGACGGUACCUGACUAAGAAGCACCGGCUAAAUACGUG
rnacentral:rRNA from 1 species